CGAGUGGCGAACGGGUGAGUAACGCGUGAGGAACCUGCCUCAAAGAGGGGGACAACAGUUGGAAACGGCUGCUAAUACCGCAUAAGCGCACAGUACCGCAUGGUACGGUGUGAAAAACUCCGGUGGUAUGAGAUGGACCCGCGUCUGAUUAGGUAGUUGGUGGGGUAACGGCCUACCAAGCCGACGAUCAGUAGCCGACCUGAGAGGGUGACCGGCCACAUUGGGACUGAGACACGGCCCAA
rnacentral:rRNA from 1 species